ACCUCCGUGCGCCUGGUAACAGCGAAAGCGUCUCUCAUGGAGAAGAUGAACUCGAGGAGCCGCGGAAGAUUUAUAGCCGAAACGGAUCACGAUGCGCGAUAAAUCCUUCGUUCACGUACUUUCAACAAGCUCCGACAUAACACGCACAAAUGCGAGCCCUUCACAAUAACACUGACACACUGACAGCGGUAUCCAGCUAAGCGUCUUAAGGCUUGGGACGCUCUCAGAAGCAAGCUGUGUCCAUACAUAACUGAACCCAAUACAUAACUGAUUACCAGCUUAUGCUAGAGACACAACAUCAGCAUCUGUUCUUGGAAGAUCCCAAAAGAGUCUGAAGAUGGCUUGCGCUGUGGAGACAUGAGUGAGACCUCCUGAUAUCGGGUGAUUAGAUGCCCAUACAGGCAUGGGGAAACUACAAAGCAAGUUUCGGCCGCGCUCGGACCUUUACAAGGCCAAAGAGGGGGCGGAGCUUGCACCUGUGCACCAGGUAGUGCAGUAUGAACCCGCUCAUACAGAUGCCAUCAACUGUGUCGUCAGCCUGACCUCUGACCUGUGCGUGUCAGGAGGGCAUGACCAGGCUGUUGUUGUCUAUGACUGGAGAGCUGGAAAACGGUGUAAAUCGUUCCAGGGCCACAGCAGAGAGAUUACAAAGUUAUGCUGUUUUAAAGGAAGUUCCUUGAUCUUCAGUGCGUCCCGUGAUAAGACGGUGCUGAUGUGGGAUUUGGGUCGAGAUACAGAACCUGUCCAGGAGUUUUGUGGCCAUGAGCUCGUAGUUAACGGGAUAGCGGUAGGCCCUGAUGGCUCAAAGCUGUGCACAGGUUCUCGUGAUAACUCCAUGCGCCUCUGGGACAUUGAGUCUGGAGAAUGUUUGCAGAAAAACACCAUCUCACGUAACCUGGUAACUCAUCUGUGCUGGGUACCAGGAAGCACAUCUAUUGUCCAAACCUCAGAAGACAAAACUAUCAGGGUGUGGGAUAGCCGUACCUGGCAGGUCACUAACACAUUUCCGGCAAAGCAGUACAUCCAGACACACUGUGACAUCAGCUCCAACUGUUACCACCUGCUGUCAUCCAGCAAUGGUUUCGGUGGUCAGGGUUGUGAAGCCACGCUGUGGGACCUCAGGCAGCCCGGCUGUAAGGUGGCUGAGUACAGAGGACACCUGCAGACCACCGCAUGCUGCGUGUUUGUGCCUCCCCGUCCCGGAUGUCCUGCCCUCGUGGUGUCAUCGUCGUAUGACAGCUCAGUAAAAAUAUGGGAUCAGAACACUGCAGCAUGUUUGUACACGUUAACGCUGGACGGUUCAGGGCCUUUGGUGUCUCUGGCUCCGUGUGACUCCAGCAGUCUCCUGUGUGCCAGUUUUAACACAGGACUGCACCAGCUGCAUCUAGAUCAGGGAGCAGUGCCCAGCCUCACUGAAGUGGCUCGCUUCUGACGUCCAUCUGGACCGCCUGGAAAAUCAAACCGAUGAGUUAAAACGAACAAAUUUAAUAACUGGAACUCCUGGAAAUGAGAAUGCACACUGCAUUUCCAAAGUACUGUAUGUGGACACCUUAUACUUAUUAAAGAAAUAGGUCCACCAAAAAUGACAAUUUGCUGAAAAUGUACUCGCCUAAAUCCAUCCAAGGUGUAAAUUAGUUUGUUUCUACAUGGGAAAACUCACCAAUGGAGUGAAUGGGUGCCGUCAAAAUGAGAGUCUAAACAGCUCAUAAAAACCACUCCAGUCCAUCAGUUAAUGUCUUGGGAAGUGAAAAGCUGUGUGUUUGUUUAAAUCUCUUAAUCUGUUAUGAUGAAGAAACAAAUUCAUAUACAUCUUGGAUGGCUUGAGGGUGAGUAAAGUUUCAGCAAAUUUUCAUUUUUGGGUGAACUAUUUCUUUAACAGGUUGGUGUAUAACUAAUAGGGGCAUAAAUUGUCUUAAUGUGUCUAAAUGUACCAACAUUGUCCACAUAUUUUUGACCAUGUAGUGUUUGAUCGUCUAAAUACACAAACCAUUAAAGGGUGUAAAAACAUAAUUAACUUACCUAAGGCAAAGAGACUGAGUGGCUAUGAAACUCCCUACCUGCAGAAAUGAUUUACAAUGGCAUUUUCCAAAUAUGGCUUAAUUCAGGGUUAAAAAUAAUCUGAGAUAAGAUGGGUGCUGGUGUUUGCUGUGUGUGUGUGUGUGUGUGUGUGUGUGUGUUACUGUGUAAAAUGAUAUAGGCAGUAUAAUGCCACUCAACUUCUGCUUGGUUGCUGAAUAUGCUUGAAUAAGUUUUUGGAAGCCAGGAGUGUAAAGUACUGGAGUAAUUGUACUUAAUUAUACUGUAUGUUAAUGUAUUAUUUUACAAAGUUUAAGCUUAAUUAUACCACACUUAAUAAUUAGUCCCUACAAUUUCAAAAUACAUAAAAAAAGGUAUUGUGGUUUAAAACAUUUUUAAAAUUAUUACUAUAUUGUGUGUGUAUGUAUGUGUACGUGUGUAUUAUAUAUGUAUUUUAUAUAUAUAUAUAUAUAUAUAUAUAUAUGUAUGUAUAUAUUAGGCUUGCUGAGCUAACAAGCCAGUCAAAUAAUUUUGCUUAACUUUUAUUUGAAUAUUUAAAACUGCCAAAUGUGUAAAAAAUAAGUGGCCACAACAACAUUUAACAUUGUGAAGAAUUUGAUUAAACCUCUUGGAUUAUAAACACCGUUAUACCGAAGACCAAAAUAAGAUGUGCAAACUUGAUUUUAGAUAAAAAAAUUUGGGCUAACUUUAAUAUGUCUUGUGUAAUUAAAAUGAAAAAAACUGUGAGUAAAAAGUUAACAAAGUUUGUGCAUCACAUAUUAAUGUUAAUUUAACGGGACACUCUUGUUCCUCUCAUCUAUUUCUUAAGCUAAAAAUAAUGUUUAUUUUUGGUAUCUAAUGCUUAACUACAAUUAAAUGUGGACUCCUUUUUUAUACAUUCCCACAAAUAUAUUUUCACCUGGAUACUUUAACUUAUAAUUGCGUAAAAUUUUGAGGAAAAAACAUACCCAUACCUUGAGUAUAAUUUCCCUGUACUUUUUACACUCCUGUUGGAGACUUUUUAUUUGCACUUUUCAUUAAGUAAUUGCUAAUGGGUCAAAAUGAUUCACAGCCAAAAGCAUUCAUGCAGAAAGCACAUAGAUGUGAAAUCUCUGUCUCUUUCUCUCCCUGUACACAAACACACACACACACACACACACACACUGCCGGUUACAUUCACACAAACUCAGGGUUUGGCAACAUGGGAAGCUGAAUCAUUUUUCACACAGAAGCUGCUAGAGUUUGCAGACACACACAUAAACGCAUUCGAACAUUUAUGUAAACAGCCUGGUCUUGUAUUUCACACACACAGAGACCCCGAGGAGAGGGAGAGGAUGCUUAUGAGACGAUGUGGCCCUUUAGGAAAUUCAAUACAAAAACAGAAGAUCUCAAUAUUUUCCCAGAAACAUGAUCAGACAAUGGAGAAUGUGAAAUCAGUGAAAAUCAGUGACACAAUGUGUUUUCUGUCAUUGUUGUUUUUAAUAUAUAAUUUUUUUUCUUUAUUAUUAGAACUAUAUUUCUAGAAUAAAAAGAAUAUUGCAGCUUUUUUUUCUGAAAAUACGGUCUUGCCAUCAUGGCAAUGUUGAUUUGAUGUGCAAUGAGAACUGUUUUUUUCUCAAAUAUACCAACCAGAGAGUGUUUGUUUGUUUUAUGUCUUUUAUUUCUGCAUAAAUACACAGCAACACCAAAAAAGUAUUUGAACACUUAAGUCACACUUAAAACUGCCUGAAUGUCAUUGCAUUAGACAACAAAAUAUCAAGCAAAUGUUGCUAGUGCUUUCCUCAAUACAAACUGCAUUUUAUUUUUGUAUUAAUAGUAGUAGUAUUUUACAUUAUGUAUUUUAAUUGUUGAUGUUUUUAUUAUAUUUGUUCAUGUUUUAUUGUAUGGAUUUUAUUUUUAUUUUUUUUUAUUAAAUGUAAUGUAAUUUUUUUUAUAUAUUUAUUUAUUUUUGACUAUUAACAUGAUAUUUUGCAUUUGGCAACAACUUGCUUCGAUACUACAUUUUGCUGUGUAAUGCAAUGACAAGACAUAUAUUUUAAAGUUAAAAUACUUUUUGCCGCCACUAUAACAUUAACAGAACAUUGAUGAAAAAACCAAGCAAGGACAUACUUUGUAUUAUGUGAUGUUGUUUUAAUCGUACAGAAAGAUGUGCUUAUUUGACUAUUAUGUAAAUGCCGAGGUGUGGAGUUAUCAAUUUGAAGGAAAUGUUUAUGUAUUUGCACGUGGCGAGAAUACAUUAUUUCAGUUCAAUGGAGUCAACACCUUUUUUGUCUCUUUUUGCAUACAGUCACAGCAGGAAAUGGAAACAUCUGUGAAAUAAUACUUGCAGCUUGAUCUUUGUAUGAAGUAUGAAGAACGUUUGAAUGAACAAAACCAAAAGUUUUCCCUGUUGGUAUUGGUAAAGUGUUCUUUAUAAGACCUUAAAAUGAUUUUUUUUAAAAACGUGUACAUUAACAGAACUGUACCAAAAUGUCCACUGUUGCAAAAUGUAUUUGUAAUUUUAUUUUAAGCAGAAUUUCUAGAUGGUAUUACAAACAUAAUGUUUAUAUACAGUAUAUAUCAGCAUAGUACUGUCACAGUAACUUGGUGAAGUAAAGACCGAAGGCUUUUGGCUCACAGUCUUCUCUUCAGCUCAGGAAAAGCGUGGUAGAUGUACAAAGAGAGAGAGACGGCACUGAGAAAAGACACUGGCACAUCUCAUCCUCUCCGAAAGGCAACAAAGACGCAAACAACAGCCACAAUGUCCAGGACACCUGCCUCAUCUGACGGGGUAAGAGUAGAUCUUGAGAUAAGUGAGUAACUGUGGAUCUAUACAUUAUAUGAGUGUAUUUUUAUGUCUGCUGUCUUUAUACCAAGUGGAAGAGUGACUUUAAUGGGAUAUUUUGCUUGACUUGAUUAUAGUCGAGCAAAAUUUGCAGCACAAAUCCAAUAGUUUAUGAAUCUCCAGUUGAAAACCAAUGUGGUUAAAUGGGAUUAUGCCAUUAAAAGAAGAAGGCUUUGAGACCAAGACGGGUUUGGAAAUCUAAAUGUGUUAUGCAUCUCUCAGGUUUGUUAUAUGAAAUCAGAUGUUCGACACUUAAAAAAUGUAAUGUAGGUAAACGUAAGGUAAUACAUUCUGAGCGUCCCAUUUGCAUUUUACACUGUGAUGCAACUCAAAUCCAUAAAAAAAUAAAUAAAACAAUUACAGGUGUUAGUAGACUAAGAAACAUUGCAGUUACAUGUUAAAGCCAUUAGAGCCAUUUACACGCAUCUUAUUUGACUAUACUGCCAUCAUAAAUGUAAACUAUGAUCAGUUGAGGCCAAACCAAAGGUCAUCUGAUGGACCUCUAAUGAAGCAACCCAAUCCUUUCUAUCUGCAUCAUGGGCGUCAGUAAUGGGACUCCCUUCUGCUGCUUUGCAUAGUUUUGGGCCGUUCUUUGAUGGAAACCUGUAAGCAUUUCCAAGGCAAAUCUGUUAUUGUGAACAGAUCUAGUGUGUGGGCAGAACAACAAACAAGUCUGUUUACCAGUCGUACUUCAUUCUUUACAACUGAUAGCUAUGUUGACAGUCCAUCCAGAGUAACCUGAAGUAUCUAGUAAGUUCAGAAAUUUGCUCUUUGAACAAGCAAGUCUUGCAAGCCAAGCUAGUUAAAAAACAUCCAAAACACAUGAUAACCAUAUGCAGGGCUCACAAGUCUCAAAAUGUUAUUUUAUUGUAUUGUUUUGACAUUUCCAUUCGUGCAUUUAGCAGAUACUUUUAUCCAAAGUAGGAUAUGUGAAAUUCGACACACAGAGAAUCCAAAUCCAUUUUUUUCUUUUUCUUUUGAUUUUAUUUUUCAUCCAUCCAUCCAUUCUACAA